GUUGAACAGGAAGCACGUGCUUUAAGAUACUUUUUAAGAUAAAUUGACAAGCGUUGAAGUUUUAAUGAUGUUGGAACUUGCUAGUUGUCUCAAAAAAUACAACAGACAAUAGUGACACAUGACGGCCUGUUUGUUGUUAGCAGUCUGUUAAGAGAACUUCUUUGCGAUGUCUGCAGGAUAGUCGCUGGCACUUCCUGCUUUUGCUGUUGGUGUUUAGACAUGAUUUCGGGCCAUGAAGUCUACUGUUCCUUGGCGCUUUUCUAUAACAAGGUCAUACUGGCAUUGGUAUUUAUCAUGACUGCACUACAAGAUCAAAGGUAUGUUCACAACUGCCACAACCACGAGGUCAACAUAUCAAAGCAAUGCAGUGCUUUGCAGAUGCAAAGCAGAGCAAGGUAAGUGCAGUAGUACAGUGUUGAUGGUAUGUUAGUGGUCACAGCUCAAAAAACAAUUGUGUUAAUGAGUCAGUAAUUGGCCUUUCCUAGAAAUACUGAAUGUAAGCUGCUACAUUAAAUGCUUGAUAAACUUGCUUUAUGCCAACAAGUACAUGAGAUCGUGGGUGAUCAUGUGCAAUAUCAUCUAGGUUAGUGUGUCCGUCAGUUUGUAUAUGAUAAGCUCUACAAAUGCUGAUUGAUACAUAAAGCUUUAGGUAUUACAACUGUAAUUAUAUACAUGUAAUUUUGCCUUUGAGUUGUGUGUAAGACAGUGAAAAUCAGGUUUAAAUCAAAUAAAAAUAGUUCCUUAAGUCUUUGCAUUAAUUGUUUUUAGGCAAUAGCCUAGUUGGCUUGUAAAUUUCACUCGCUCAAAUAAAUUAGCCUAAAUUUAAGUUACAGUCUAUAACAUUUGUUACAAUUUUUGUGUUGGGGAAGCAAAUACAAAUAAAGAUUAGCCGCAUAAACACUUAAUGUCUGACAAAAAAAUGUAACAUAAAAUUUGAUCAUUGCCAUAGUCACUGUAUAAGCUUAACCCGGGGAGUUGACUGAAGACAAUUUCGUUAGACAUCAAUUUCAUUGAACAAUGACAAUUGUCUACGUCGAAUUACAAAAUAAAAGACAUAUAUAAAGAAUAAUAGGUACCAUCUCUGUUCGUAAUCUUUGGCCAUUUUUCUAAAGCUCUCUAAAGGAGUUGCCACUGACAAAGGGGUCAUCGAAGCGUUCAUCAAGUAGUCUUUUGGCGUCAUCAUAAGUUUCAUCGGAGGACAAAAGAAAGUUUUCAACAGCAUCCCUAGCAUCACUGGAAAGGUACCUUUUAAGGUAAUGAAUUCUUUCAUUUGAUGGAAUAUUCCGACGCUCUAUCAGUGUCUGAAAUGCUGCCUUCCAACCUGGAUAUUUCAGAGUGUCGCCACUGAAAACCGUGGGCUCAGGGGGAGGAAGUCUACUAAGGCUUUAGGAGGGACAGUGGCACUAUUAGAAAAUAGAGGACCUCUACAAAGAGCCAUAGUGCUAGACGUCGCCAAUGCUGGUCCUGCAGGAAAUGAAUAUUUCGAGUCUGGAUAGAACUCUCUAACCAUAGGAUUCAUAUUUUGAGAAACCACUAGGAGCAAAAGCAUAAGCAACACUAUGAAGCAGGCUAAAGUCUAGAUCAGAGGGGGGAUCUCACCAAAUCUUGGUCACUAUCAAUGGAAUGGGCUAAAAAAUAUUCUCUAGUGAAACGGUCACUAUCAAUUGGCAGCAGAUUCGUGUCUGGUCUAGAUCUUGAUUGCUUGUUAAAGUCAAAUGUGGCUCAUCCAUUGCGUCAAGAUUUGCUUGGACCAUUUCUUGCCGCCUCAGCGCUUUAACCCCAUCAAAUUUCAAUUUAGCUUUGGAUUCCACAUCAAGAUAUUUAAGCUUAACUUUGAGUGCAGCCGUUUUUGUAGGAAGAUCAGAUUUACUAGAGGAACGAGAAACAUGUGAAGAGUGUGAGGCCUAACUUGUGUGUGAGGUAUCAGAACAAGACCUAAAUUCUACAUCAUCUGUCCUCAUGCCACGAAGAACAUCUGUAACAUUCGCUUUAAGUUUGUGAUGUUCUACCUCAACGGACUUGUAUCUCUGACGAAUGGAACUUACCUCGACUGUGUCGUCAUAUUGCAACUGACUCAAAUUGUCAUGCUUAUUACUCAACUCAUUCCUGAUACUAAUCAAGUUGUCCCAUUCCUUCGUUAUUAUGCCCCCCUUUGAAGAAGAGGGGGUAUAUUGUUUUGCACGUCGGUCGGUCGGUCGGUCGGUCCGUCCGUCCACCAGAUGGUUUCCAGAUGCUAACUCAAGAAAGCUUAGGCCUAGGAUCAUGAAACUUCAUAGGUACAUAACUCAAGAAUGCUUACGCCUAGGAUCAUGAAACUAAAUAGGUACAUUGAUCAUGACUGGCAGAUGACCCCUAUUGAUUUUCAGGUCACUAGGUCAAAGGUCAAGGUCACAGUGACUCGAAAUAGUAAAAUGGUUUUCGGAUGAUAACUCAAGAAUACUUAGGCCUAGGAUCAUGAAGGCCUUGGAUCAUGAAACGUCAUAGGUACAUGGAUCAUGACUGGCAGAUGACCCCUAUUAAUUUUCAGGUCACUAGGUCAAAGGUCAAGGUCACAGUGACUUAAAACAGUUAAAUGGUUGCCUGAUGAUUACUCAAGAAUAAUUAGGCCUAGGAUCAUGAAACUUCAUAGGUACAUUGAUCAUUACUGGCAGAUGACCCCUAUUGACUUUCAGGUCACUAGGUCAAAGGUCAAGGUCACAGUGACAAAUAUGUAUUCACACAAUGGCCACCACUACAGCUGACAGCCUAUAUGAGGGGCAUGCAUGUUUUACAAACAGGCCUUGUUAUUUUUGAAUCUUCAGAGUCUGACACAAGAGAAUUCAACUGCGAUGCGCGACGAUGCCAACGCAGUAUAAGCGACCUUGUGCCACUAACAUGAAUAUCUAUUAGCCAAGCUAGACCCUUUUCGGUUGGAAAUCUAUUACGCUUUUUUAAUACUUCACUAGACUCUUCCCCUAUAUAUGCAGCAGGGUUGUCUGCCAUUUUAGACUACCUUACAAGAACCAAUACGUUAGGAGUACAGGGUGACGAUAUAAAAAAGUACUCAGACAAAACGUGACCACUAAGUGCUGAAAUCUCGCUAACAGCACAAACUUGCAAAAACCAAGUGAAAUACAAAUCAUUCAAACCUCUCACAAUGCAAGUUCAAACUACAAAUUGUAAAUUUCAAAUAUUUGAUCCUCUUACUUUAAAAUUCACACUUUUACUUUUACUAAAAUAGUUGUUUUUUUAAACAAUCACUUAAAUGUUCGA